rnacentral:rRNA from 1 species
CACGUAGGGCGCGAGCGUUUGUCCGGAAUUAUUGGGGCGUAAAGAGCUCGUAGGCGGCCUGUUGCGUCCGCUGUGAAAGCCCGGGGCUUAACCCCGGGUCGGCAGUGGAUACGGGCAGGCUAGAGGUAGGUAGGGGAGAAUGGAAUUCCUGGUGUAGCGGUGAAAUGCGCAGAUAUCAGGAGGAAUACCGGUGGCGAAGGCGGCUACCUGGCCCAACAUUGACACUGAGGCCCGAAAGCGUGGGGAUCAAACAGG